rnacentral:lncRNA from 1 species
AUCUCCCUCCGCGAUGUGUUGGCCUCGCGCGCGCCUUAUUUAUUUAUUUGUUCCGGGGGUGGGGGCGGCACCAGCACCUAAGUGGCUUGGGGAAGGAGGGUGAGCAGGCUUAAGCCCGGGGGUGGUUUGUGGGCGCAUGAGGUGGAGAAGGGGCCCAGACUGGAUGCCAGGGGUGGGAGCAGGCUGGGGAAAGCCCCGGGCCUGAUGCCGUCCGAGCCUCUGCGGCCGCCGCCACCACUGGCGCUAGCUGGGCUUCGGGAAGCUAGUCCGGAGCGGAGGAAUCUAUUGUUAUUUAUUGUGUGGCGGUUUCAUGCUGUACUCGCGCGGCCCGGCCCUCGCCCGGGAGUGCGUGCGUGUGUGUGUGUGUGUGUGUGUGUGUGUGUGUCUGUGCGCGCACGCGCGUGCGUGUGUGAUCAAGUGAGUGUGUUUGCGGGGGUGCGCGCGCGGGCGGGAGUGGGCGCGCUCGGGGAAAGGCCCGAAAACACCUUAGUUUGCACCGAGAGACCAUUUGCAGCGGAACCCGAAAGUUUGCAAGAGGAAGAGAGCGUGUGGCGAGCAAGCGGGCCAGGGGCAGCGGCAGCGGCGCCGGGGACCAUGGUGCUGCCGGCGCCUCCUCCGCGGGCGUGA